rnacentral:lncRNA from 1 species
GCUUGGAGUACCCAUAAUACAGUGAGCCCACCUUCCUGGUCCCCAGACAUUUCAGGAGGUCGGGAAAUUUUUAAACCCAGGCAGCUUCCUGGCAGUGCCAUUUGGAGCAUCAAAAUGGGCCAUGGGUCUGGAUUUCCAGGAAAGCGGAGACCUCGAGGUGCAGGACUGUCGGGGCGAGGUGGCCGAGGCAGGUCAAAGCUGAAAAGUGGAAUCGGAGCUGUUGUAUUGCCUGGGGUGUCUACUGCAGAUAUUUCAUCAAAUAAGGAUGAUGAAGAAAACUCUGUGCUCGAUAUGGUUGUGUUGUUUUCUAGCAGUGACAAGUUCACUUUGAAUCAGUUUUCUUAACUUCAGGAUAUAUGUGUAGUUUGUGGCAGUUUUGGCCAAGGAGCAGAAGGAAGAUUACUUGCCUGUUCUCAGUGUGGUCAGUGUUACCAUCCAUACUGUGUCAGUAUUAAGGUAAACAUCCUUAAACUGAGUUUACAGAUCACUAAAGUGGUUCUUAGCAAAGGUUGGAGGUGUCUUGAGUGCACUGUGUGUGAGGCCUGUGGGAAGGCAACUGACCCAGGAAGACUCCUGCUGUGUGAUGAUUGUGACAUAAGUUAUCACACCUACUGCCUAGACCCUCCAUUGCAGACAGUUCCCAAAGGAGGCUGGAAGUGCAAAUGGUUCUCUAGGGGGGGGAUUUGGAUUUCAGGUGUGUUUGGUGCAGACACUGUGGAGCAACAUCUGCAGGUCUAAGAUGUGAAUGGCAGAACAAUUACACACAGUGCGCUCCUUGUGCAAGUUUAUCUUCCUGUCCAGUCUGCUAUUGAAACUAUAGAGAAGAAGAUCUUAUUCUGCAAUGAAGACAAUGUGAUAGGUAUAGAUGGAUGCAUGCAGUUCGUCAGAACUUAAAUACUGAGGAAGAAGUGGAAAAUGUAGCAGACAUUGGUUUUGAUUGCAACAUGUGCAGACCCUAUAUGCCUGCGUCUAAUGGUAAAAGUUAGACCCACCCAAGACUUAUACCCAGGAUGGUGUGUGUUUGACUGAAUCAGGGAUGACUCAGUUACAGAGCCUCACAGUUACAGUUCCAAGAAGAAAACUGUCAAAACCAAAACUGAAAUUGAAGAUUAUAAAUCAGAAAUAGCGUGGCCGUCCUUCAGACACCUCCAGACAUCCAAUCAGAACAUUCAAGGGAUGGUGAUAUGGAUGAUAGUCGA